UCGUAACAAGGUUUCCGUAGGUGAACCUGCGGAAGGAUCAUUAACGAAUAUCUAUGGCGUUGGUUGUAGCUGGCUCCUAGGAGCAUUGUGCACGCCCGUCAUUCAUAUCUUUCCACCUGUGAACCAUUUGUAGGCCUGGAUACCCCUCGCUUUGGCAACAAAGCGGAUGCAAGGAUUGCUGCGUCGACAAGGCCGGCUCUCUUUGAAUUUCCAGGUUCUAUGUCUUUUACACACCCCAUUCGAAUGAUUUUAGAAUGUAGUCAAUGGGCUCUCAUGCCUAUAAAAAACUAUACAACUUUCAGCAACGGAUCUCUUGGCUCUCGCAUCGAUGAAGAACGCAGCGAAAUGCGAUAAGUAAUGUGAAUUGCAGAAUUCAGUGAAUCAUCGAAUCUUUGAACGCACCUUGCGCUCCUUGGUAUUCCGAGGAGCAUGCCUGUUUGAGUGUCAUUAAAUUCUCAACCUCACCAGUUUUGUAACGAGACAGGUGAAGGCUUGGAUGUGGGGGUUUUGCAGGCUGCCUCAGUGCUGGUCUGCUCCCCUGAAAUGCAUUAGCGAGCUCAUACUGAGCUUCCGUCUACUGGUGUGAUAAUUAUCUACGCCGUGGAUUGGACUCAUGCUUGCUUCUAACCGUCCGCAAGGACAAUUUACUUGACCAAUUUGACCUCAAAUCAGGUAGGACUACCCGCUGAACUUAAGCAUAUCAAUAA
rnacentral:misc_RNA from 1 species